rnacentral:rRNA from 1 species
GAUGAACGCUGGCGGCGUGCCUAAUACAUGCAAGUCGAGCGAACGGACGAGAAGCUUGCUUCUCUGAUGUUAGCGGCGGACGUGUGAGUAACACGUGGAUAACCUACCUAUAAGACUGGGAUAACUUCGGGAAACCGUAGCUAAUACCGGAUAAUAUUUUGAACCGCAUGGUUCAAAAGUGAAAGACGGUCUUGCUGUCACUUAUAGAUGGAUCCGCGCUGCAUUAGCUAGUUGGUAAGGUAACGGCUUACCAAGGCAACGAUGCAUAGCCGACCUGAGAGGGUGAUCGGCCACACUGGAGCUGAGACACGGUCCAGACUCCUACGGGAGGCAGCAGUAGGGAAUCUUCCGCAAUGGGCGAAAGCCUGACGGAGCAACGCCGCGUGAGUGAUGAAGGUCUUCGGAUCGUAAAACUCUGUUAUUAGGGAAGAACAUAUGUGUAAGUAACUGUGCACAUCUUGACGGUACCUAAUCAGAAAGCCACGGCUAACUACGUG